CAAUCAAUUGUGCAUUUCUGUUUUAUGUUUUAGCACCGAGUUCCGAAGGAAUUUCAUGAUAAACGUCCUCGCAUCAAUCUAACCUUCAGAACAGUUUAUGCCUUAGAUAAGUUACCUACAGAAAUAGUCCCAAAAACUCAUGACCAAGCUCAAGAAAGCAAUAAGAGCUUAAUGAAAAAGACAGAAAAUAUUUCAGAUAAUCGUGCUCCAUGGUGUAGUAAGGAACUUUCUUCAACUGAAACUGUUUUAGAUGGUAUAUCUUCUGAGCAAAUUGAACAUUUUGAUCCAUCAGAAUUUCCUUUGCUUAGCGUUAGCAAGGAUAGUACUAAACCGCUUAGUGACUAUGCUGCCGAUAUAAGUUUACCUACCCAAAGCAAUGCCGAAGACGAAACAACACAGAAUGAUGUUCAAAAUAAAUCUAUAUCUGCUGAUUCAACAAUAGAAAGUGCGUCCAAAACAUCCCUCAAUGAUAAAAACCACAACGUCAGUGACAACAAUUCGGACAGAAGUUUAAAACCAAACCUGCUGAAACCUUGUCCUCCUUUUUCAAACAAAAAUCACACUGAGAUAUUAACUAGUCUGAAUGUCAAUGCCCCAUCAUUUGUGCCAAAAUGUCAAAAAUCUUCUCUUCCUGCUUUCUCUGAGAAACGUUUUAACAGUUCUGCAAAGUUUGAAGAAAAAACCGUUGGAUGAAUUUCCUGUAGUUCCUGACAGAGAGCAGUCUACUAAUGCCCCUAGCACCUGUAGGCAACGUCUGUCACAUGAUCUCUUGGACCUAUUGCAGUACCCAACUAAUGAACUUGUUGAGAAUUAUUCUUUUAUUAUUGAAGAAAUAUCAAAUAGUUUAAAUUGUUCUUUGUUUAGUGAUAGAGACAAACAAGAGUUGCGAUUUUUGUGUGAAAUUUCUAAUGAUCAAAAUGCGAAAAACCAAGGACGAAUAUGUGUUAGAAUUCGGAAUGUAGUAAUGGAUGCAUUUUCUGUACAUACUGAGGCUAGAAGAAUACGAAAUAAUAUUGAAGCUAGGAGCAACAGAUUUCGAAAUUCAGAACCCAGGCAAAUUGGACCUCCCCGCCACAACAAAAAUGUGUCUCCUAGGCAUCAACAACAAAGGUUCGAUAGAAGAAGUGAUAUUGUAUAUAAAAAGCAAUAGUUACGAAGGAAUGACCUUAAUUUAGAUUUAUUCGAGAAAUUCUCUCUGAAGGAUGCUUGAGCAUAACUCAAAAUGUAGGCUGCAUUCUUUAAAACCUAAGAAUCAAUUUAAUGUUUCAAAAUAGAAACUGUUGCAGUUUUUGUUAAAGGAUAUUUGUAUUGGAAUAUCUUCAUACAAGAACAUCCUAAAAUGUAUGUUUUAAUAUUUUUUAAAUUUUACAGUGUAACAGUAUAGCAUUAAAAUAUUUUUUAAAGUUGGAA